rnacentral:rRNA from 1 species
GAUUAGUUCGUUGGUGGGGUAAUGGCUCACCAAGGUGACGAUCGGUAGGUGGUCUGAGAGGAUGAUCACCCAGACUGGGACUGAGAUAUGGCCCAGACUCCUAUGGGAGGCAGCAGUCGGGAAUUUUGCUCAAUGGGGGAAACCCUGAAGUAGCAACGCCGCGUGCGGGAUGAAGGCCUUUGGGUUGUAAACCGCUUUUACCAGGGACGAUAAUGAUGGUACCUGAUGAAUAAGUCACGGUUAACUACGUGCCAGCAGUUGCGGUAAUACGUAGGUGACUAGCGUUGUCCGGAUUUACUGGGCGUAAAGAGCGCGCAGGCGGUCGUUCAAGUCGAGUGUGAAAGUCCCCGGUUUAACUGGGGAGGGUCAUUCGAUACUGAUCGACUUGAAGGCAGGAGAGGGAAGCGGAAUUCCCGGUGUAGUGGUGAAAUGCGUAGAUAUUGGGAGGAACACCAGUGGUGAAGGUGGCUUCCUGGCCUGUUCUUGACGCUGAGGCGCGAAAGCUAGGGGAGUAAACGGGAUUAGAUACCCCGGUAGUCCUAGCCGUAAAUGAUGGACACUAGGUGUUGGUGGUAUUAACCCCACCAGUGCCGAAGCUAAUGCAUUAAGUGUCCCGCCUGGGGAGUAUGGCCGCAAGGCUAAAACUCAAAGGAAUUGACGG